UUAAGCAAAAAAUUGCAUUUUCUGAAUCAAUAAAUGUUGAGUUGAUAUUAUCCCAUUGAGAUGAGAUUAACGUAUCUACAAAAAUCGUAAUGUUUAUGAACCCUCUUUUAAAGUAACAACUAGGCUUUUUUCACUAACUAUAUGUCAAGAAAAUGUUACAUGCCAAUAAGUGUACACAUACAUACAACACAUGUACAUAUA
rnacentral:lncRNA from 1 species